AGUACUGACCAUUGUGGGGAACAGCACGACCUUGGAUUCUGGGAAUGCGUUCCACCUUUGCCAAAGCGACUUCAUUUCUGCUGUUUCACCUUGGGAACACAGAAUCUCCUUAAAGAAAUGGAGCCCACGCUGAACCUCCCUUGGUGACGUGGCCAUGGCUUCUAAUGAGAGCAGUUCUAACACCAAUGCAUUUAUUAUCCUCAGACUCUAAGU
rnacentral:lncRNA from 12 species